ACGCUCGACACCUACGGAGGCAGCAGUGGGGAAUAUUGCACAAUGGGGGAAACCCUGAUGCAGCGACGCCGCGUGGAGGAAGAAGGUCUUCGGAUUGUAAACUCCUGUUGUUGGGGAAAAAGAGGAUGGUACCCAACAAGGAAGUGACGGCUAACUACGUACCAGCAGCCGCGGUAAUCUGAGCGGGCUGGCAAGGC
rnacentral:rRNA from 1 species